rnacentral:rRNA from 1 species
GUCUAUGGCCAUACCACCCUGAACACACCCGAUUUUGUCUGAUCUAGGAAGCUAAGCAGGGUUGGGGCUGGUUAGUACUUGGAUGGGAGAAGGUAAGAUGCUUGCUUUGUAGGGG